rnacentral:rRNA from 1 species
AAUGCCUAGGAAUCUGCCUAGUAGUGGGGGAUAACGUCCGGAAACGGGCGCUAAUACCGCAUACGUCCUACGGGAGAAAGUGGGGGAUCUUCGGACCUCACGCUAUUAGAUGAGCCUAGGUCGGAUUAGCUAGUUGGUGAGGUAAUGGCUCACCAAGGCGACGAUCCGUAACUGGUCUGAGAGGAUGAUCAGUCACACUGGAACUGAGACACGGUCCAGACUCCUACGGGAGGCAGCAGUGGGGAAUAUUGGACAAUGGGCGAAAGCCUGAUCCAGCCAUGCCGCGUGUGUGAAGAAGGUCUUCGGAUUGUAAAGCACUUUAAGUUGGGAGGAAGGGCAGUUACCUAAUACGUGAUUGUUUUGACGUUACCGACAGAAUAAGCACCGGCUAACUCUGUGCCAGCAGCCGCGGUAAUACAGAGGGUGCAAGCGUUAAUCGGAAUUACUGGGCGUAAAGCGCGCGUAGGUGGUUUGUUAAGUUGGAUGCGAAAGCCCCGGGCUCAACCUG